AUAUUUCGGAACUGAGUCUAGUUCCUUCGAUAUCAGUGUAAUCUAACACUGAUAUCGAAGGAACUAGACUUUAGAUUACACUGAUAUCGAAGGAACUAGACUCAGUUCCGAAAUAU